GAUCACCCAUGCUUUUUCCUUCACUCGUACAAUGAAUAGUACCAUCAACUUUCUAUAACAAUUCAUAGCUUCACUCCCCAAAUUUCUACCUUUACACUUCAAAUGCUACACUAGUUAUCAAGUCUCUCUUUCACUCCCAAAACAUGUUCCACCAAGACAGCAGUUCAAGGAGCUCGCUCAACAAAUUUCUUCCAUCUCCGAUCCCUCCGCACAAGACACCAAUCAGAAUUCAUCCACUUAAGGUUUUGGAGAAAAGUAUUAAUUUUGAGAGGAGUUUUGAAGUCGAAAGCUGUGAAGAACGAAAGAUGUCGCAUUGUGUACUGGACGGUGUGCCCAUUCUGCCUGGGCGUGGAUUGAACUGCAUGGAUUGAAGAAGGCUAAAUUGGCGAGAAGAAAGAAUUUGGGCUGCCAUGUUGAUUUGGGCUGAGCUAUUUCCUCUUUUUGAUCACAAGCCCACACGCCACUUUUAGUUUAUUGAUUUUGGGCCAUGCGCCACCUUUGGUUUC